GAAGAAGGUGCUUGUUUCUUCUUUGCCUUCUGCCAUGAUUGCCAUGUGAAUCGCACCCCUGGAACUGUGCAGGGCCCACCUGUGUGGCCACACGCAGUGACCCUGAGCAAAGGAGUGACCACAGAAGUGCAUGGCAAAGCAGAAAGGUGUGACGUCUUGGAGGACGCGGGAGGAAAGCACGCCCAGCGGACAGGAGCCAUCACGCGGCUGCGGGCUGCUGCUGAGAACCUGGCGUGGGCCACCGUCGUCAGCAGCGUGGAGGGAGCCGAGGAGCAUGGACACCGUCUUCUCCUUCCAGCAGGCACAGGUAUGGAAGGAGACUGAGGCUGGUCUUGGAUGGACACUUGUUAUUGCAGUCAGAGUCCAUCUGGAUAAUCCUGGAUAAAUCUCAUCUGGAGAUCCUUCACCAGAUCACAUCGGCAAUGACCUGUUCCCCAAAUAAGGCCCUGUGCACAGGUUCUGGGGUGCUAGGAGUGAGCCACCAUGCCUGGCCCAGUUUUUAAUGCUUGGACAUCUCCAAAAUCAGGACAUAUCUUGUAAUUGAAGACGUCUCACCAUAGCGGCCAGCCGUGCAACCACUGGGCCUGUCUGUGCCUGAACAACACACUGGCCUGCCUUUGCCUGAACAAGACAGCCUUAGUCUCAAAGCUUGCAGAUGGGUGUGGCCUGGUAGAAAAUUCUCAAGACAACGGCGGAGCACGCUUGCCCCUAGGAGACCAAGUGGCCGGAAUGUUGAGAAUCAGCCUUUCGCAGAAAUCCCCUAAGCGGGAGGCAGCAGGCUGACUCCAUCAGCCCCAGGCAGGCUUCUGGGCCCUGCAGCUAUGGCUCUUCAUCCUUUUACAUGUUCUUCGAGAAUCAGCUGCACCCUGGAUGCUUCUGACAGCUCAGAGGACAUCAGCAUGAGGACAAGCACAGGGCUUGAUGGCUCGGAGGGAAAUGGAGUUGGAAGAUUUGGACUUAAUGUGCACACAUUUUAGAAAUAUCUUAACAAAUUUUAUUUUGCUGAUAUCUUUCUUUUUUGUGUGUGCCAAAGUGAUGGCCAGUACAAAUCCAUGUCUAAUUAAGUCCAGAAGAGCUCCUUCAAUAAGCGUAAGAUGAAAGUUAUGAGUGAUAAGAAAGCGUCAUGUCAGUUUAAUUGGCAGCAUUUUCUCUUUCUUAGUGGUUCAUAAAAUAAGGCAGUGCUUUGCUAUCGACGGUGUCUGAAAUUCUGUGAAUAUUCAAAGUUAAAUCUCAUGCUGAACAGCCACUGUGCGCAAGGCGGGUGA
rnacentral:lncRNA from 1 species